rnacentral:rRNA from 1 species
CCUACGGGUGGCAGCAGUGAGGAAUAUUGGUCAAUGGACGAGAGUCUGAACCAGCCAAGUAGCGUGAAGGAUGACUGCCCUAUGGGUUGUAAACUUCUUUUAUAUGGGAAUAAAAUGUUCCACGUGUGGGAUUUUGUAUGUACCAUAUGAAUAAGGAUCGGUUAACUCCGUGCCAGCAGCCGCGGUAAUACGGAGGAUCCGAGCGUUAACCGGAUUUAUUGGGUUUAAAGGGAGCGUAGGUGGAGUGUUUAGUCAGUUGUGAAAGUUUGCGGCUCAACCGUAAAAUUGCAGUUGAAACUGGCAGUCUUGAGUACAGUAGAGGUGGGCGGAAUGCGUGGUGUAGCGGUGAAAUGCUUAGAUAUCACGAAGAACUCCGAUUGCGAAGGCAGUUCACUGGACUGCAACUGACACUGAGGCUCGAAAGUGUGGGUAUCAAACAGGAUUAGAUACCCGUGUAGUC